rnacentral:lncRNA from 1 species
UGGAGUUUCAAGAUGCUGAUGAACUUAAGGUCUGGCGCUUGAAAGAAUCAGUGAAGCUUUUCAAGUAGAGGAGUACUCUACUUUGAAGAAAGGAAUGGAACAGAAGGUGUCUGCAUAACUAAAUGGGGAUCUAGAGAAAGUGGAGACUGCCUCUGGAGCAGGGAGGUGAGUGGACCAGAUCACUGUGGGCCUGGGCCUACUCAGCUGAUUUUCAAGCUAAAACCAGGGGUAACUUUUCCUCUUGAGACGAAAGCCAUGCUCACAUUCUGUGAACAGCCAGAGAUGUGUUCGAAAGGCUUACUUUUAUUUUGUACUAGAAAAGAUUGUCUUUCCAAAAUUUACCUCGUAUUCAUAAACUGGAAAGUU